rnacentral:rRNA from 1 species
GAUGAACGCUGGCGGCGUGCCUAAUACAUGCAAGUCGAGCGAACAGAUGAGGAGCUUGCUCCUCUGACGUUAGCGGCGGACGGGUGAGUAACACGUGGAUAACCUACCUAUAAGACUGGGAUAACUUCGGGAAACCGGAGCUAAUACCGGAUAAUAUAUUGAACCGCAUAGUUCAAUAGUGAAAGACGGUUUUGCUGUCACUUAUAGAUGGAUCCGCGCCGCAUUAGCUAGUUGGUAAGGUAACGGCUUACCAAGGCAACGAUGCGUAGCCGACCUGAGAGGGUGAUCGGCCACACUGGAACUGAGACACGGUCCAGACUCCUACGGGAGGCAGCAGUAGGGAAUCUUCCGCAAUGGGCGAAAGCCUGACGGAGCAACGCCGCGUGAGUGAUGAAGGUCUUCGGAUCGUAAAACUCUGUUAUUAGGGAAGAACAAAUGUGUAAGUAACUAUGCACGUCUUGGCGGUACCUAAUCAGAAAGCCACGGCUAACUACGUG